rnacentral:rRNA from 1 species
UACGUAGGGUGCAAGCGUUAAUCGGAAUUACUGGGCGUAAAGCGUGCGCAGGCGGCUUUGCAAGACAGAUGUGAAAUCCCCGGGCUUAACCUGGGAACUGCAUUUGUGACUGCAAAGCUAGAGUACGGCAGAGGGGGAUGGAAUUCCGCGUGUAGCAGUGAAAUGCGUAGAUAUGCGGAGGAACACCGAUGGCGAAGGCAAUCCCCUGGGCCUGUACUGACGCUCAUGCACGAAAGCGUGGGGAGCAAACAGG